AGUAAAAUGCCUGAAAUUAAAGGGUUAUCUUGAUAGGAUAAAUCAUGUAUUAAAUACUUUUACUA
rnacentral:tRNA from 1 species